AGCUAUAUCAAGUUGAAACGCCGUUUUUCGUACGAUCACCGAAGUAAAGCAAUGUCGAUCCUGGUCAAUACCUAGAUGGGUGACCGCUUAGGAAUACCAGGUGCUGUAA